UGUUAUAUUUCCUGAAACUUGCAAUUAUUAUAAAAUCAUUUUAAAACCCUGUGUUACUUAAGAUAGUAUGGAAUGUAAGAUGGUAGAGUAUGUGUUUCUUAUUCUUGAUAUCAUUGUUGCUUGGAGAAUUUAUUUCAAAAUCUUUAAAAUUCUAGCUACCAUCCUCAGUGUUUUAUAUGCCUGAUAAAACUGAAAAUAUUAAUUAUGAUUAUAAAAGCUAUGUACUCUGUAUUGAGUUUGUUCAAAAUGAGUUAGACCCUUGUUGAGAGAUUUAUCAUGCUCCUAAGAUCAAGACAUUUAUUCAGAAAGAUUCACUCUUCCGAAGUAUUAUUGCAUUAGAGGCAUGGGCUAUGCAAAAAUAAAGAGAGAAAAAAUGAUAGCCCAUGGACCCUCUAAUAAGGGUUUAGAAAAAAUGACAACCUCGCAGAAAAAAAUGGACAAGUGUCCGGCAGUAGAAUUAGGGGUACCUCGGUAUCCACUUUUUUUUAAAAAAAAUGAGAGAAAAAAUGAUAGCCCAUGGACCCUCUAAUAAGCAAUAUGCCAGCAAGAGUUGACAAAGAUUUUAAUUUCCAAAGUCUUUGAUCUAAGAGUAUGACAUUCCCCUCUUCGGAUCCCGUUUUGAUCAGGCAAUAAAUGCAAAGUAAGUAUGCUUGAGAAUUUUUUGCAAAUUAAAACAGCCUCAGUGAGAUAUAUAAAAGAUAAUGAGUGAUCUGAGAGAACCUAUGAGGAUAAAAAGGUAUGCUAACUUUCUUUCAAAAAUAUACAAAAACUCCAAGUGACAAGGAUUGAGAAGAAAGGAUCUUUACUCUUAACCAUAUACUUCCCUGACUACAGCACACAGUGGAAUUUUAACACCCUGCAAAUAUAAAGAAUGCUUUAAAAUGUUUUACCCCAAAUAUUGUUCUUAACCAUCCUUUUCUCGAGGACGAGUAAAAGCCUAAGUAUGGGGGUAUUUGCUGACGGUUCUUAAGUACCAAUUUUAAUUAUCAAAUAAACAAGAGAAAGGACCAAUAUGCAAACAACACCUAGAAUUAGGGUUUGAUCUGACAGAAUCCCACGAGUUUUGUUGUUUAUCUGUUUCUGCAGGGGGUUAUCAGGAAAUAAGGAAGAAAGGCCCACAUGUCGGGAUUACAUAGAGAUAUCAACGCACCGCGCGAUUUUCUACCAUCUAGAAGACUCUAGAAGCCACGGGAAGAAAGCAGAGGCCGAAAGGGGCCAGGCCCAGGGCGCCCGCCCCCUGCUGGAAGCCAUUCAGGACUCUCUUCGCACACGAUGUUCCACCGACCUAUUGGAUCCAGAAUAACAUAGUACCACCUCGCUACCGACCCAAAAACGCAUAGAGGAGGAGGACUAUAUAAGGAGACCCCCCUGGCCCC
rnacentral:lncRNA from 1 species